GCCACUGAAGGAAGAAGAAAUACACUGUGGAGUAAUCAGCAUAUAAUCACUCAGGCUUUGUGUACUGAACAUGAAUGCCGUUGCCACUACUAUUUAUAGCCAGUGUUUCUUGCACCUGAGUCCUCCAGCUAUACCUAUUCUAUGAAAACUACAGAACUCCUCACCUUCUCUUCAGCCUGUGGAGCAGUCACUGGCUCAAGGAUUAUUUCACAGGAGUCCAGACACACAACGACAGAGCAGGAGAGACGCCUGAGAAGUGGCAUCAGAGACGCAACCUCGCUGGUCUGCCACGUCCCUGGUGUCAGUCCAAGGCCAAGAAGCAAGCAAGCCCUUGUCUCACCUGUGCGUGUCUCUUCCCAU